UUUAACGUUUUAAUUUCAUUCUAACCAAUACUAGAUAAUAAAAAAAAAAUGUCCAAUUUCAAAGAAACUGGUUUAUUAUUUGUGCUCUUGGCAACAAUUCUAAUGCUUCUGGUACCUACAAUUAAUGCACAAUGUUUGCGUUUAGGAGCACCAUGUAUAACUGAUGGUAGUAUGGGUACUUGUUGUAGAGGAGUAUGUUAUUCAGAGGGAUCAAUUUAUGGAGUUUGUCAAACAUUAUAAAUAAAGUAAAUUAUUUAAGAAAACAA